GAAAGCGUGGGUAGCGANCAGGAUUAGAUACCCUGGUAGUCCACGCCGUAAACGAUGAGUGCUAGGUGUUAGGCCCUUUCCGGGGCUUAGUGCCGGAGCUAACGCAAUAAGCACUCCGCCUGGGGAGUACGACCGCAAGGUUGAAACUCAAAGGAAUUGACGGGGGCCCGCACAAGCGGUGGAGCAUGUGGUUUAAUUCGAAGCAACGCGAAGAACCUUACCAGGUCUUGACAUCCCGAUGCUAUUCUUAGAGAUAGGAAGUUACUUCGGUACAUCGGAGACAGGUGGUGCAUGGUUGUCGUCAGCUCGUGUCGUGAGAUGUUGGGUUAAGUCCCGCAACGAGCGCAACCCUUAUUGUUAGUUGCCAUCAUUAAGUUGGGCACUCUAGCGAGACUGCCGGUAAUAAACCGGAGGAAGGUGGGGAUGACGUCAAAUCAUCAUGCCCCUUAUGACCUGGGCUACACACGUGCUACAAUGGUCGGUACAACGAGUUGCGAGCCGGUGACGGCAAGCUAAUCUCUGAAAGCCGAUCUCAGUUCGGAUUGGAGGCUGCAACUCGCCUCCAUGAAGUCGGAAUCGCUAGUAAUCGCGGAUCAGCACGCCGCGGUGAAUACGUUCCCGGGCCUUGUACACACCGCCCGUCACACCACGAGAGUUUGUAACACC
rnacentral:rRNA from 1 species